AGAUGGGUUGCUUAAGGAGGAUGCUAGCUUUUCCUGAUCAAGAUAGGAGAAAUUCUUCAACAAGUGGGAUACUGGCCUCCAUAGUGCUCAUCUUCCACCUGUUGAGUUGCCUGUUCUUGCUAGUUCAAGCCUUGCAUUCCUGACUCUUGGAUUUCAAGACAAGAGGCCUUUGUCUCCCACAGAAAAGGAGAACACAUCAGAGGGAAGAAGUGCACAUUCUGCCAACUGCAUGCAGAAGAGCAAUUUCUGUGAAGGUAAACCCUGCCCCAUUUGACUGUCUGCACCAACAUCUUGUGCUAGUGGCUCAUACAACUUGUGUGCUACAUACCUUGCAUUGUUUUAGACUUACCUGGCAAUAAAAUGGUGGGGUUUUCACCUUGUUUUAUGCAGAAUGUUUUUGUUCCUUAUAUUAAAGAAAAACACAGGCUAGGAAGAAAAGGGCCACAUUGUGCUGGCCUUCAUUUCACUGCUGGCAAGCUGCAGCACAUUUCGGUGCUGGUGUCGCUCAUGAAAUUCAACAAUUCGUUACCUCACUGGAACCAUACAAAAUUAAAAGGUGUUCUGAAGGAGCCUGCUAGCUUCUGGAAAAGCCUGGAAUCUCCUUUACUGCACACACGCGAAUACAUCUCGCUGCCUCUCCUGCAUCAGGGCCUGUAUCGCCCUCCUGUCAGCCCUUAUCUUGCAGCCUCCUCACGCAGCUGGAAAUCACAUCACAAGCUCUUAGUAUUUGUUCUCAUCCUCAGCAGUGCUGCAAGGGGCAGCCUCCCUAUGUCUUCUGCUGUACAACACUGAGAGGAGAGCACAGAGGACUGGCCUCAGAAUAAAGGCAGUAUUUAUCUAAACCUUUUCUCCCAAAGCGCAUGGUUCUUUGGGGC